rnacentral:rRNA from 1 species
GACGAACGCUGGCGGCGUGCUUAACACAUGCAAGUCGAGCGGAGAUAUAUUGAAGAUUUAUCGGAUAUAUAUCUUAGCGGCGGACGGGUGAGUAACGCGUGGGCAACCUGCCUCAUACAGGGGGAUAACACUGGGAAACUAGUGCUAAUACCGCAUAACAUAGAGAAGUGGCAUCACUUCACUAUCAAAGGAGCAAUCCGGUAUGAGAUGGGUCCGCGUCCGAUUAGCUAGUUGGUGAGGUAACGGCUCACCAAGGCGACGAUCGGUAGCCGAACUGAGAGGUUGAUCGGCCACAUUGGGACUGAGACACGGCCCAGACUCCUACGGGAGGCAGCAGUGGGGAAUAUUGCGCAAUGGGGGAAACCCUGACGCAGCAACGCCGCGUGAAGGAUGAAGGUUUUCGGAUUGUAAACUUCUUUGAUGAGGGACGAUAAUGACGGUACCUCAAAAACAAGCCACGGCUAACUACGUGCCAGCAGCCGCGGUAAAAUACGG